UACGUAGGUGGCAAGCGUUAUUCGGAUUUACUGGGUGUAAAGGGCGCGCAGGCGGCCCCAAAAGUCAGAUGUGAAAGAUCAAGGCUUAACCGUGGAGGGUCAUUGGAAACUGGUCGACUUGAGUGCAGAAGAGGGAAGUGGAAUUCCAUGUGUAGCGGUGAAAUGCGUAGAGAUAUGGAGGAACACCAGUGGCGAAGGCGGCUUCCUGGUCUGUAACUGACACUGAGGCGCGAAAGCGUGGGGAGCAAACAGGAUUAGAUA
rnacentral:rRNA from 1 species